UACGGGGGAUGCAAGCGUUAUCCGGAAUCAUUGGGCGUAAAGCGCCUGUAGGUUGUUUAAUAAGUCUGUUGUUAAAGACUAGGGCUCAACCCUAGAAAAGCAAUGGAAACUACUAGACUAGAGUAUGGCAGGGGUAGAGGGAAUUUCUAGUGUAGCGGUGAAAUGCGUAGAUAUUAGAAAGAACACCGGUGGCGAAAGCGCUCUACUGGACCAUUACUGACACUCAGAGGCGAAAGCUAGGGUAGCAAAAGGGAUUAGAUACCCCUGUAGUCCUAGCCGUAAACGAUGGAUACUAGAUGUUGUGCAUAACGUACAGUAUCGUAGCUAACGCGUUAAGUAUCCCGCCUGGGGAGUACGGUCGCAAGAUUA
rnacentral:rRNA from 1 species